rnacentral:snRNA from 19 species
AUCCUAGUGCAAGGGCUUGACGCGUAUCAGUGAGGAGACAUCCGAGAUCGUGUUUUUGCUAGUUGAAAACUACCAACUUGACUGCUUCAAGUGAGCCUUCGGGCUCGCUUGGGAAUUUUUGAAACAUGCUUACCUCAACUCCUUGACUCUUGAGUCCUCGAGUUAAAUCCUUUGAAU